GUAGGUGCGGGACGGGGGGGUGCGGGGGGGCGCGGCACGGGGUGGAUCGCGGGGUCCGCAACCCGCGGGUCUCUGCCCGCUGCCGGCCGGGGUUGAGGCGGGGAGGGCCGGGCCCGGCCCGGCGCCGCGGGUGUCCGCGGGGCGACGCGUGGCCGCGCGGGGUCCCGUCGGGGUCCCGUUGACAGCCGCCCGCCGUCGCCGUACUCUUUGGGCCAAUGAAGCGGCUGUUCGCUUCUACCCCGAGCGAUCGCUCCCUUCGGCUCGCCCCGCAACCCGUCCCGCACCCGAGCAACGCGCGGCCCUCCUACGGCCGCGUUCCGUCCUCCACGCGGUCGGAGCUGCGGGACGGAGAAACGGGGAAAUAAAACGGAGAACGCGGCCGGGAGGUUCCCCGCCUCUGCCGGCAACCACGGCCCCGCGCCCCUCCCGCCCCGUCGGGGCCGCGCCCCGCUCCCCGCGCCCCGCCCGCCCGGGAUCGAUGCCCCCGACCCCAUCUGGGCCGUUCUCACGCGGGCGGCCCCGCUCCGCCCCGCUCCGCCAGCUGGGCGCUGCUACCAGGGGACCGCUUCCCUUUGACUGCGGCCCCAAGUGCCAUGUGUCGGGGGAUGAAUGCGCGGGAGGCGACGAGCAUCUCACGUCCAUCAAGCACCACUUUUUCACAGCGAUUUUUUUUUUCCCAGGCGUUAGCGAAAGCAUCUGCUCGGCCCGGCCCCCGCCCCCCGCCGUUCCCGGCCGCUUUCCGCCGCGGCUCCGCUCUCCGCCCCCGGAGCCGCGGGUGCCCGGGGCGCGUCUCGCACCCCCGGAGCGGUGCCCCCGUCGGGAUGCGGGGCUGAUUGCCGCCCCACUGUCCGCCCGGCACCGCGCGGCGCCGCUCCUCCGUUUGGUUCGGCGAGUAUGAAUUUCGCUGGCACCGCUCCCGCCCGGUUCGGUGUCCCCGCUGUCCCCACGGCCGCUCCUCGUUCCCCGCACGGACACCCCCGGGCGCAGCGGUGGGAGCACUCCCGGCGGCUCUCUCCUUUCGCCCGCUCUGCCCUUUCCCCCCUCGCAAGCUGUGAGCACGGCCGGGCCCGGCGCGCUGCAGCAGUUCGCUUUCACCCUUCCCGCGGCCGCCGCGAGUUGCGGGGCCUCCGUCGGUACCACGGAGCGCUGCGGGGCUGGGAGGGCCCUUCGCCCCGAGAGCGAUUUCUAAGGGCGGGCGGUGCGCUGCCCCCAACCGGGUCCGGGGAUGCGGGGGUCCGUUGGGCUCCCCUCGGCCCCGCACGGCCCGCUGCGCCUCUCCAGCAACUUUCCCCGCAGUGAGAGGGCGCGGGGUCGGGGCGCCGCCUGAACAAAGGUCUGCGGGGCGACGUCCCGAGCGAACAGCGCGGUGCGGCGGUGCUCCCACCCGUGGCACAGCCCUGCGCUCCCCACGGCCGGACGGGACGCCGCGCCGCGUCGGUGCCGACGAGCGCCGAAAAGAGCUCGGAGUUGCGGAGCGGUGCCCCGCAUCGCUGUGCCGCUCGCGGUGCGAUGCGGGGGUACGCACGGCCCCGCCCCCCUCCCCAUCCCCAACCCGGACGAACCCCGCCGGGGUUCUCUGCACGUCGGUAAAUGUCGUCGCUUACAUCCAAAGCUCUCGAUUUGUUUAUGGGAAAAUACAGUUAAUAAAUAAUUACAACUCCGACGGUGUGCGCGUCUGAGUGAGGGCUGCCGCCGGGCCGCGG
ensembl:lncRNA